rnacentral:lncRNA from 1 species
AUGCAGGAGCUUAACCCAUUGCACCACAAGGCCUGCCCCAAGAUUCUUGGUUAUCAAGAGGAAAGGCUGGUGAGAACAGCAGCCCUUCCACACCCCUGGAUACUCAUUGUGAUUGUUGAACGGCUGCUCCUGGAGCAGCAGAAGGAGGAGUCUUCCUGGGCAGGGACUAUCACUUCCACUUCUGUGAGCUCUGGUCCUGAGAACCUAGCGACGACUGGAAAGGACAGCACAGCAAUGAGAACAGAUGUGAGUUCCAUCCCAGAACAUUAAAGCCCUGCAUUUUGGAGUACACUGCUUUGCAAUAAUCUAGUUUUCUCAGUAUGUCAAGAGCAUGUUUUCUUGCUUUUCUGGGCAUUCUAUCAUGACAACUUUCUAUGUGGCCCAAAUAAAAUUCUAAAUAGAAUGCUUUAGUUGCA